GAGACAGAGCCAAACCAUUCCAAGGUCCAAGGAAGAAAGAACCAGAGAAAGCAGAUGGAGCUCAGAGGAAGACAAUUCAUGAGACACUGCUCCACAAAGCUUGUUGGGGAGAGAAGAAGCAAACAGAUUCAGGAGGCAGAAGAGUAGAGUGUGAGGACGCUCUACCAGAAGUUGGGUGCUCCUGUAUCAUUGAUCACAACUGAG